rnacentral:rRNA from 1 species
AUUGAACGCUGGCGGCAGGCCUAACACAUGCAAGUCGAGCGAGUGGCGGACGGGUGAGUAAUGUCUGGGAAACUGCCCGAUGGAGGGGGGUAACUACUGGAAACGGUAGCUAAUACCGCAUACCAUCAGAUGUGCCCAUAUGGGAUUAGCUAGUAGGUGGGGUAACGGCUCACCUAGGCGACGAUCCCUAGCUGGUCUGAGAGGAUGACAAGACACACUGGAACUGAGACACGGUCCAGAGUCCAACGGGAGGCAGCAGUGGGGAAUAUUGCACAAUGGGCGCAAGCCUAAUGCAGCCAUGACGCGUGUGUGAAGAAGGCCUGCGGGUUGUAAAGGACUUUCAGCGAGGAGGCGUUACUCGCAGAAGAAGCACCGGCUAACUCCGGGCCAGCAGCCGCGGUAAUUC